rnacentral:rRNA from 1 species
UUAUGGCUCAGGAUGAACGCUAGCUACAGGCUUAACACAUGCAAGUCGAGGGGCAGCGAGGAGUUAGCUUGCUAACUUUGUCGGCGACCGGCGCACGGGUGAGUAACGCGUAUCCAACCUUCCCCAUAGUAGAGGAUAGCCCGACGAAAGUCGGAUUAAUACUCUAUGUUGUAUUUCGAGGACAUCUGAAGAAUACCAAAGGUUCACCGCUAUGGGAUGGGGAUGCGUCUGAUUAGGUAGUAGGCGGGGUAACGGCCCACCUAGCCGGCGAUCAGUAGGGGUUCUGAGAGGAAGGUCCCCCACAUUGGAACUGAGACACGGUCCAAACUCCUACGGGAGGCAGCAGUGAGGAAUAUUGGUCAAUGGGCGUGAGCCUGAACCAGCCAAGUAGCGUGCAAGGAUGACGGCCCUAUGGGUUGUAAACUGCUUUUAUGCGGGGAUAAAGUGCGCCACGUGUGGCGUUUUGUAGGUACCGCAUGAAUAAGGACCGGCUAAUUCCGUGCCAGCCGCUGC